rnacentral:rRNA from 1 species
GCGCAGCAGUCGAGAAUCCUUCGCAAUGCGGGAAACCGCGACGAGGGGACUCCCAGUGCCUACGCUCAGCGUAGGCUGUUCCCGAGCCUAGAAAGCUCGGGGAGUAAGGGCUGGGUAAGACGGGUGCCAGCCGCCGCGGUAAUACCCCGCAGCCCGAGUGGUGGCCACUAUUAUUGGGCCUAAAGCGUCCGUAGCCGGCCCGGUAAAUGCCUGGGUAAAUCGUGAGGCCUAACCUCACGAAUUCCGGGUAGACUGCCGGGCUAGGGACCGGAGGAGGGGAGAGGGGUACUCCAGGGGGUAGGGGUGAAAUCCUGUAAUCCCUGGGAGGACCACCGGUGGCGAAGGCGCUCUCCUAGGACGGGUCCGACGGUGAGGGACGAAAGCCAGGGGGA